rnacentral:lncRNA from 1 species
AACGAACUACCUCUAGAUGUCAACGGGCAACUAGGAAAAACUCGACGUUUAUCGACACCAACAGAGAGGAGGAAGGGACAUCAACGAAUGACCCGGAAAGGAUACAACUAGAUAUCAACGGAUAACUAGGAAAAACUCGACGUUUAUCGACACCAACGUGAAGGAGAACCUGAGGUGAAAGGGAUACAACUAGUUAUCAACGGAUAACUAGGAAAAACUCGACGUUUAUCGACACCAACGGAGAGG